ensembl:lncRNA
AUGCCUACGUGCCUUAGACAUGUGGAGGAAGCCUUGGUUCUUGUCUCAGGGCCCGGUGCUGGGGGCUCCUUGUCGCCGCGUGACGCUAGCGACGGACGCGUCCCUCACCGGCUGGGGUGCGGUCAUGAGUUGCCAUCCUGCCCGCGGUCUGUGGAGUGGUCGCCAUCUGACAUGGCAUAUCAACUGUCUAGAGAUGCUAGCAGUAUUUUGAGCAUUGAAUUAUUUUCUCCCAGACCUAAGAGGUCACCAUGUGUUAGUGCGCACCGACAACACAGCGGUGGUCUCUUAUAUCAACCAUCAAGGAGGUCUGCACUCGCGACCCCUGUACCAGCUGGCACGCCAGAUCCUUGUGUGGUCCCAGGGCAAACUCCUUUCACUGAGAGCAGUACAUAUGAAUGGGCAUAUGAAUAUGGGAGCAGACAUCCUGUCGAGGCAGGGGCCGAGGCCCGGGGAAUGGAGGCUUCCCCCCAAGGUGGUGAAGCAGAUAUGGACUAUAUUUGGUCAGGCUCAGGUGGAUCUGUUUGCGACUCAGAUGACAUCGCACUGUCCCCUUUGGUUCUCUCUAGUUCGUCCAGCUCCUCUGGGACUGGACGCUAUGGUACAGAUGUGGCCGAGGCUUCGUCUGUACGCUUUUCCCCCGAUUGCUCUGCUCCCGGGAGUUCUGGCGAGAGUACGCCGGGAUGGGGUCCGUCUUCUAUUAGUAGCCCCAUUCUGGCCGGGCCGAGUAUGGUUCUCAGAUCUGAUCUCGCUCCUCAACGGCUCUCCAUGGGAGAUUCCUGUCAGGAGGGAUCUCCUCUCACAGGCGGAGGGCACGAUAUUCCACCCCCGCCCGGAGCUAUGGAAGUUACGGGUGUGGCCCCUGAGGGGGCACAUCUCGUAGCUUCUGGUCUCUCAACCGAGGUUGUUGAGACCAUCCUCCAAUCCAGAGCUCCCUCAAGGAAGAAACUGUAUGCCUUGAAGUGGAAACUUUUCACUUCUUGGUGCGGAGAUCGCCAAUUUGACCCAGUCAACUGCCCAGUCGGUACAGUGCUGGAGUUCCUGCAGGCCCGUUUCUCCGCAGGGUUGACUCACUCCACCCUGAAGGUCUACGUGGCGGCCAUUGCGGCCUACCAUGCCCCUCUCUGUGACCAAUCAGUGGGCAGACACCCCCUAGUUUCAUGUUUCCUCCGUGGUAAGCUGAGGCUGAGGCCUCCGAUACGUUCCCGUGUCCCCACGUGGGACCUGGCUGUGGUGCUAGAAGCUCUUUGUAAGCCUCCUUUCGAGCCUAUUGAAGAAAUCGCUGGCCGCUAG